rnacentral:rRNA from 1 species
AUUGAACGCUGGCGGCAUGCCUUACACAUGCAAGUCGAACGGUAACAGGUCUUCGGAUGCUGACGAGUGGCGAACGGGUGAGUAAUACAUCGGAACGUGCCCAGACGUGGGGGAUAACGAGGCGAAAGCUUUGCUAAUACCGCAUACGAUCUAAGGAUGAAAGCAGGGGACCGCAAGGCCUUGUGCGUUUGGAGCGGCCGAUGGCAGAUUAGGUAGUUGGUGGGAUAAAAGCUUACCAAGCCGACGAUCUGUAGCUGGUCUGAGAGGACGACCAGCCACACUGGGACUGAGACACGGCCCAGACUCCUACGGGAGGCAGCAGUGGGGAAUUUUGGACAAUGGGCGAAAGCCUGAUCCAGCAAUGCCGCGUGCAGGAUGAAGGCCUUCGGGUUGUAAACUGCUUUUGUACGGAACGAAAAGGCUCUGGCUAAUACCUGGGGCACAUGUCGGUACCGUAAGAAUAAGCACCGGCUAACUACGUG